UCAAACUUGGUCAUUUAGAGGAAGUAAAAGUCGUAACAAGGUUUCCGUAGGUGAACCUGCGGAAGGAUCAUUAACAAUUGUCCAUUUUCCUUUGCAUAUGGAUGGUUCAAAUCCAUAUCCACCUUCGUGUGCACAUCAUUGACAUGUUUGCUUUGGCAGUUUUUGCGAGGGGAGAUCCUUUACCGUUUCUCUCUGUGGAAGGAGAAGUGUGGGAGAGGAAGAAAGAUAGAAACUCUGUUUCUCCUUUUCGAUUUCUAACCCACCUCCCUUUUCCUUCCGGCGCUGCCAGAGUUUUCAUCUUGUUUCACGUUGACAAACUUUUGCUUCUUUUCUGGAAGCAAGGCUGAAGAAAACUUGGAUUUUUGGAAACCCAAAAAUUAAAUUGAAUACAACUUUCAACAACGGAUCUCUUGGCUCUCGCAUCGAUGAAGAACGCAGC
rnacentral:misc_RNA from 1 species